UACCAUGCAAGUCGAACGGUAAGGCUCCUUCGGGAGUACACGAGUGGCGAACGGGUGAGUAACACGUGAGCAACCUGCCCUUGACUCUGGAAUAACAGCUGGAAACAGCUGCUAAUACCGGAUAUGACCUCAUCCGACAUCUGAUGAGGUGGAAAGUUCUGGCGGUCAAGGAUGGGCUCGCGGCCUAUCAGCUUGUUGGUGAGGUAACGGCUCACCAAGGCUUCGACGGGUAGCCGGCCUGAGAGGGCGACCGGCCACACUGGGACUGAGAUACGGCCCACACUCCUACGGGAGGCAGCAGUGGGGAAUAUUGCACAAUGGGCGAAAGCCUGAUGCAGCAACGCCGCGUGCGGGAUGACGGCCUUCGGGUUGUAAACCGCUUUCAGCUAGGACGAAGCGCAAGUGACGGUACUAGCAGAAAAAGGACCGGCCAACUACGUGCCAGCAGCCGCGGUGAUACGUAGGGUCCGAGCGUUGUCCGGAAUUAUUGGGCGUAAAGGGCUUGUAGGCGGUUUGUCGCGUCAGAAGUGAAAACUCAGGGCUUAACCCUGAGCCUGCUUCCGAUACGGGCAAACUAGAGGGAUGCAGGGGAGAACGGAAUUCCUGGUGGAGCGGUGGAAUGCGCAGAUAUCAAGAAGAACACCGGUGGCGAACGCGGUUCUCUGGGCAUUUCCUGACUCUGAGAAGCGA
rnacentral:rRNA from 1 species